rnacentral:lncRNA from 1 species
CCUAUGGGCACAAAAAGCAGGAACGAGUAGCGGUGGCUGAAGAACGAGCAGGAGCUUGAAUUUCAGUUUUCUUAUGAGGAAUUUUCCAGAAAAGAUAUCUUCACUGUGAAAUAACUAAAUAAAUGCCCACUCAGUACAGUCACUGUCUCCCUUUUGGAACUUGAUGGCACCUUAAGCCCAGGUUUGCCUCCACUCUAGAAACUCAUCAGAGUGAUGCCCUUCUCAAAUGGGGGAGGUCCCAAAGCGGAUAUCCUGGCAGUGUGAAAGGCCGGCUAAAGGUUUGUGCCAAGAGGAUCUGUGGAAUGCAUCUCCUACAGCUGGUGCUGCUGAGUAACCACUCUGAUCUGGCAUCUUCUUUGAUCAAGUUACAGAGCAGAGUUUCCAGGGCUGGGGAUUGAAGUCCUGCCUCCUCCCUUUGUCUCUGGUUGUCCUCGCUUUCCCUGCACUCCAAACACAGAGCUGAGACUUCCACCUAAUGUAGAAAGCUAGCACGAGCCGGCGCUGACAGAUGGAAGACUUGAGAUGUUACAAGAUUAUAUAUGGAAACACAAAAGGAGUGGAGUUGCUGGGUCAUAUGGCAAUUCAUUUGAGGAACUGAGAAGCUUAUUCCAUGGAGGCUGAACUGUUUUAUAUUCCCACCAGCAACGUGUAAGGUUCCAGUUUAUCUACAUCAUCACCAACACUUGCUAUUUUCCAUUUCAUUAAUGAUAGCCAUCCUAGUGGAUUUGAAGUGGUACCUUAUUAUCGUGGUUUUGAUUGCAUUCUCUAUUGACUAAUGAUAUCGAGCAUCUUUUCAUGUAUUUUUUGGUCAUUUGGUCAUUUUUCUUUUUUAAUUUUAAAAUUUUGAGACAGGCUCUCACUAUGUUGCCCAGGUGGUCUCAAACUCCUGGGUUCCAGCGAUGCUCAUGCCUCAGUCUCCCAAAGGGGUGGGAUUACAGGUGUGAGCCACUUUGCCCAGCCCAUUUGUAUAUCUCCUUUGGAGAAUAUCUAGGUUCUUUUGAAGGUAGCUGCAUAUAAACUAGCCAAAUUAACAGACUGUGGUUUUUAGAUGGCUUUCCAUAUCUACAAGAACUAUUUAGUUCUCAAAACUGGGAAGAAAUGUUUCAGAGGCAUCAUUAAUUCAUAAUCUAAAAAUUUAUCUUGGGUUUCCUUUUUUCCCCCAGAUUCUGUAUCCUCCAUAGUCCUAUUCAUGACAUGGGUCGUUCAUCUCUGUAUUCUAAACCCUCAAUGAACUGUAGACAGUAAUAAAUAUUUAUUGGAUGAAUGGUCUCUCAUCAGCCACCUUUUCUUUUUUUUUUUUUGAGACAGAGUCUCACUCUGUCACUCAGGCUGGAGUGCAGUGGCGCGAUCUCGGUUCACUGCAACCUCUGCCUCCCGGGUUCAAGUGAUUCUCCCACCUGAGCCUCCCGAGUAGCUGGGAUUACAGGUGCACGCCACCUUGUCUGGCUAAUUUUUGUAUUUUUAGUAGAGACAGGGUUUCACCGUGUUGGUCAGGCUGGUCUCAAACGCCUGACCUCAGGUGAUCUGCCCGACUUGGCCUCCCAAAGUGCUGGGAUUACAGGUGUGAGCCACCGCACCUGGCCUCCAGCCUCUUUUCUUUUUUUUUUUUGAGACAAGUCUAACUCUGUCACCCAGGCUGGAGAGCAGCGGCAUGAUCAUGGCUCACUGCUGCCUCAACCUCAGAGGCUCAAGUCAUUGUCCCCACCUCAGCCUCCCUAGUAGACUGGACUACAGGCAUGUGCCACCACACCCAGCUAAUUUUUCAUCAGCCACCUUUUCUAACCAUCUGUCUGCACUGACUUCCCAGGUUCUGCAUCAUUAUUGGUUUACUGAGACAAUGCACUUCACCCGUCCUUCAAUCCCAAAGUAGCACAGAAUAUCAGGAGUUCUUUGAGCCCCUAAGUGCCCUACUUUCCCAGGGUCAGGGGACCCUGACAAGCAAGGUCCCCACAUCUUUCUGUGGUUGGAUAGGGAUAUAAAAUUUCUCACACAUGUUAAAUCAAGAUACUUUGGCCAGGCACGGUGGCUCACACCUGUAAUCCCAGCACUUUGGGAGGCUGAGGUGUACAGAUCACUUGAGGUCAGGAGUUUGAGACAAGCCUGGUCAACAUGGUGAAACUCCCAUCUCUACUAAAAAAAAAAAAACUUUGGGAGGCCGAGGUGGGUGGAUCAUGAGGUCAGGAGUUUGAGACCAGCCUGGCCAACAUGGUGAAACCCCGUCUCUACUAAAAAUGCAAAAAUUAGGUGGGUGUGGUGGCACACAGCAGUAGUCCCAGCUACUCAGGAGGCUGAGGCAGGAGAAUUGCUUGAACCUGGGAGGCAGAGGUUACAGUGAGCUGAGAUCAUGCCACCGCACUCCAACCAGGGCAACAGAUCAAGACUCCAUCUUGGGGAAAAAAAAAAAAAUUAGCCAGGCUUGGUGGUGGAUGCCUGUAUUCCCAGCUUCUUGGGAGACUGAAGCAGGAGGAUCGCUUGAACCCAGGAGGCAGAGGUUGCAGUGAGUUGAGAUUGUGCCACUGUACUCCAGCCUGGGCAACAGAAACAAUACUCCGUCUCAAAAAAAAAAAAAAAAAAAAAAAAUCAAGACACCAAACACACACAACUAAUUAGCUCUAUAAAUUGAAUUAAAAGAAAAUCCAUACUGACUUGCUUUCCCAUCUGUCCAUAUUUGUCUAUCCAAAUGAUUAAGGGCUAGAGAAAAUACAGAUGAUGAUGGCUGAGAUGGGAUAAAACUAUAAAUUGACUUGGUUCCAUUUACCUCCCAGAAUCAGCAUACAGUGACAAAGUAGAGAGAAAAGGUCUGGGCACCACAAACUUGUACUUGUGCUAGAAAUGUAGGUGCCUUUUCAUUUGCCCAGCAGGGCUAGUUUAACAGCCAGGGUAUCUUCUGGGACUCUUCCCCAAAUCUUGCUCUACCGCUGACUAGCUAUGUGAUCUUGGGCAAGUUUCUCAACCUUUCUGUGCCUUUCUUCCUUUACUUAUAAAUAAGGAUAACAGAAUUUGCUUCAUAGAGUUAGUCUGAGGAUUCAGUAAGUAGAUACGUGUAAUCUUAGAACAGUGUCUGGCACACAGUAAAACUCUAUCUUUGCUAUUGUUGUUUUUGUUAUAACUGUAUAGAUGUUAGCUAUUAUUACUAUCCACAAGAAUGGGACAUAUCAAUUAUAUAUAUUACUGGCCUAGUAAUUAUAUAUACUUAGAAUCCCUGAUCAAUAAAAUAAAUUGUAAUAGAAAUUUUUAUUCCUCAAACACAUUUUUGUUCCUCAAACACAUUUUUAAAUAAACAUGUCUUGGGAAAGCCAAAGAAAAAAAAAUCAUACCUAUAUCCAAAUAUGUUAUAUUAAAACCUUGUUCCUUGGCAAUUUCACUAAGCAGCUGGAUGUAAUCUGUAUUUGGAAUACUAAGGAGGCUUCUUUUCAGUAAGUUGAUCUUUUCACCAGGAGAAUUCCUCAAGGAAUGCCAAGUACAUCCUAAAGAAUGUCCUACUACAUUUGUCUGAAAAACAGAGAUGAAGAUUUAGACUCUUGACUAGGACUGGGUUCCAACACCCGUACCAGUAUCAUUAAAAGUACUUAUUAAGCACUCACAUUUAAUAUGUUAUAAAGCAUGUUUAAAUGGAUAACAUUUGGUUAAUUUUCCAAUUUAAACAAGACAACAUUAAAAAGUACACAUUUAACAAUACUAUAUGUUUUUAAGAAGCACUUGCAAUAAUAUACUGAAAGCAUUUUGUAUUUUGUAUAGUACAAAUGUUUCUCAGUCAAGUUUUCUGAUGGUCACAUUAAGAGGUACAAGAUAUCUGGAAGCACCAUAAGUAAAUCCACAAAUAAUUAAAUCUGCCUAAUGGAGCAAUUUGCAGAUUAAAAUAUAGAACAAUUUUCAUAUCUUUGGUUUUUUUUGUAUUAAAUACCAAUCACUAUAACUGACAGCUAUCAAACAGGAAAAAAAACAGAAAAAAAAACUAAAAAAAACAUGAAAUGUGCGCGUUGGGUUUGAGGAACAAGUCAUUCAAAUAAAUGACAGGAUGUCAAAAAGUUCUUAUCAGACUUCUAUCCCAGAACCCAACUGAGUAUUUUUUUCCUUUUUCUUUCUGCUUUUCCUCUUUCCUUUAUCCUCCCCUAUAUCCUUCCCUUUUCAUCUCUGUCCUUAGAAUGCCUUAUAUUUCCAUAUUAGUUUAUGGUUCUCAAAUUGCUUUCAUAUGCCAUUAAUAAAAACAACUACUUUCUGAAGUAAGUAGGGUUACUACUCUUAAUAUUGUUUUAUUAAUGAGCACGACAGAGGGGAGGCAAUUUCCAAAAGAUUUUAGAGAUGGCAUGAUAUGGAAUUAAGUAAUUUAUUAGAUUUACCAAAUAAAAAUUUACAUUAUAGAAACUUUAAAAUACUGUUUUUAAAUAAAGAACACUAUUUACAUGGUUAAAAAUAUACAUGCACUAAGAACAAAUAUAUAAUGAAGAGUACAGUCUCUUUUCCUUACCACCCAUUCCCUGAAGACCUCUGUUCUAUUUCUUAGACAUACUGUUAAACAUUUUUCAGUAUCUUCCCAUAAAUGUUCUAUGCAUAUGCAAGCACACACAAUCUUUUAAAGCAAAUGAUAACUUACUCCUCUACAUCUUGUUCAUUUUUCUUUUAUCAGUGCACAUAUAUGCACUGUAUUUACCUUACGGAUCUCCAACUGUGAGCUUUAGGUUGUUUCUAGUUUCUUGCUUUUACUAGCAAUAAACACUCUUUUGCACUUGAAUGAGUUUCUCUGUAGAAUUAUUUCUAGAAGUGGAACUGCUAAGUCAAAGAACAUGUACACUUUUAAUUUUGAUAAAUACUUCCAAACUGAUUUCUGAACCAAUUUAUACUCCUACCAACUGUCUUGGAGGGGGCUUGUUUUCUCAUACCCUCACUAAUACCAGCUAUUAUCAAAUUUUGUAGUUUUUGCCAAUCUAAAAGGUGAAAAUAUUUUAUCUUGCAUGAAUAAAGUUGAAUAUUUUUUCUUUUUUUCCCUUAAUCGUUUGCAUUUCUUCUACUGGGUUGUCUUUUUAACUGAUGCAUAAGAGCUUUUUAAAUUUUCUCUUUUUUAAGAGUUAGGAUCUUGCUGUGUGGCUUAACUCUCAAACUCUUGGGCUCUAGCAGUCCUCCCACCUUAGCCUCCCGAGUAGCUGGGACUACAGGCAUGUGCUGCUGUGUGCAGCAGAUGUGUACAAAAGAGCUUUAAAGGUAGUACUGAAAACAGUUCCUUUAUAGUUCUAUGUUGAAAAUAAUUUCUUCCCACUUUUUUAUUGUCUUAAUUUACAGAUUUUUUGCUGUGCAGUAGGUUUUAUGUUGUCAAAUGUAUUAAUCUUUUAACCUAGGUUUUAAGUUAAAAUGCUUUCCCCAUGCUAAGAUUUUUAAAAAGAAAAACUCUUCCAUGUUUCCUAAUAUUUAUACUGUUUCAAAUUUUUAUGUUCAAAUCUUUGAUCCAUCUGAAAUUCACUUUGGUGUAAGGAAUAAGGAAGCAUUCUAAAUAGAUGUCAUACACAUCAACAAAUAUAUAUAUAUAGCCCCCACCCAAAUGUGGAUGUAAACUGUUUCUACAUCAUUAUUGAAUAAUCCAUCCUCUCACCCACUGAUCUGAAAUCUCACUGUUGCUAUAUACUAUGGUCCUAUGUGGAUUAGCAUCUACGCCUGGAUUCUCUAUUCGCUCCUCUGACUAUUCCUGGCCCAGUAACUUGUCUGACAAGUUCAGUUUUACAGUAUGUUUUGUUCUCUAGUAAAGCAGCACACCCUUGCUCUCCCAACUCUUCCUUUUCAGUUUUCUUGGCUAUUCUUGAGGGUUUUUUUCCAGAUAAACUUCAAUAAACGUGUAUCAAGGUCCAAAAUGAACGCUGGUAGGUUUUUUUUUUUUUCGAGUUGGGGUCUCACUCUGUCGCCUAGGCUGGAGUGCAGUGGCGUGGAUCUCUGCUCACUGCAAGCUCCGCCUCCCGGGUUCAUGCCAUUCUCCUGACUCAGCCUCCGGAGUAGCGGGGACUACAGGCGCACGCCACCAGGCCCGGCUAAUUUUUUUUUUUGUAUUUUUAGUAGAGACGGGGUUUCACCGCGUUAGCCAGAAUGGUUUCUAUCUCCUGACCUCAUGAUCCGCCCACCUCGGCCUCCCAAAGUGCUGGGAUUACAGGCGUGAGCCACUGUGCCUGGCCAAACGCUGGUAGGUUUUGAGUGAGAC